UUCUGUAUGAAUACACUGAAACACAAUGAUUUCAUUCUCUAUUCCUGUUUCAUGCUGCAAAUGUCUCUUUCCACACUGCUUCUCCCUAGCCUGGAAACAUAUCACUGUUUCAUUAUCAUGUCAACAGGGCAUCAUUGCCUUAACAUUGUAAUAAUGAUAUCUAAAGGGUUUAGCAGAGGAAUGGGUUGUCCUAACUUAAAAAGAAAAAGAAACACUUUACAGUUUUCUCUAUUUUGCCAAAUAACACAGGUCCCCUAUGACUGAGUACUGUUGGGGCAUUCUGUACUCAACAGGGAGGCCUGCAUGAGCAAGACAUAUUACAUGCGUGUGACAGUUAUGGAUUACAUACAUACUUUACUCAGACCACUUGAAGAAAAGAGAGAGAUAAGUGUAUAAGUGCUAGGUGAUUUCCAAUAGUAUAUAGUAUGUUGCCCAAGAACAAGUCAUCCUAAUAAACCCUUUGUUUUGUAAUAGGUGAUGAAUUUCUUCUCAAUGUUGCCUCUGCCUCAUGGAGAAACAGUUCAUAUUUACAUUUAGAAUUAUUACUAUGAUGACUACAAUGCACAGAUGGAAACAAGACAUGAAAACGGAACUAGAGAACUGCCUGUUGCCAUGUCAACCAACCUGAAUGUCAGGGCUCAUCACCAGAAGAGUUUUGUACCCCUUGGUCAUCCCUGCCUUGGGCAGUGGCAGAAUGCCAGUUCUGGAGUGCGGUGCAAUACCAUUCUUUCCAAAUAUUUUUCUCAAUCUGCUGGUAUUCUUGUAUCCCUUCAAGCAUAUGUGCACAAUUUCUUUGGUGAUCUAAUGCAGUGAAGCUCAUGGUAGCCUCAAACAUAUGCACUUCAGCUGUGUCUAGCCACUACAAUCCUACACACACUGGAGUACACAGCAGGUAAACCUCAGUUGAUAUUCAUUCAAAAUCUGAGAGCACAAUGUGUUCUGUAUGGGAAAGCAACAGGGAUACUCUGCACUGCUUAUGCAACGAUUUCUGCAGAGAACGGAAAAAUCUAUAACACACAUUCUAGAAAUAUGGACACUCCAUACUACUUAACCUUUAAAGUAUGGACUUUUAAAUUAUUCAGAGCUUGCUGCAGCCGGAAUUUAAAUAGUCCAAAGUCUUUAAAGUUGCAGACGUUCAGA